AAGACUAUACUUUCAGGGGUCAUUUCUAUAGUUCAUUACUAGAGAAGUUUCUCUGACUGUGUAGAGCACCCGAAAACACGGAGGACGAGACAUAGCAUCCCCUCCUGAGCGUGAAGACGGCUCUAGGAGCUGCUACAUUGAAGCUGUCUCUUGCCAUUGAUGAUCAUUCUUCUCUCUUUCGGAAGGGUGAGAGGAAGGGAACGCACAAAAAGA